AGUGAACGCUGGCGGUAGGCCUAACACAUGCAAGUCGAACGGCAGCACAGUAAGAGCUUGCUCUUACGGGUGGCGAGUGGCGGACGGGUGAGGAAUACAUCGGAAUCUACUUUUUCGUGGGGGAUAACGUAGGGAAACUUACGCUAAUACCGCAUACGACCUACGGGUGAAAGCAGGGGAUCUUCGGACCUUGCGCGAUUGAAUGAGCCGAUGUCGGAUUAGCUAGUUGGCGGGGUAAAGGCCCACCAAGGCGACGAUCCGUAGCUGGUCUGAGAGGAUGGUCACCCACACUGGAACUGAGACACGGUCCAGACUCCUACGGGAGGCAGCAGUGGGGAAUAGUAGACAAUGGGCGCGAGCCUGAUCCAGCCAUACCGCGUGGGUGAAGAAGGCGUUCGGGUUGGAAAGCCCUUUUGUUGGGAAAGAAAAGCAGCAGGUUAAUACCCCGCUGUUCUGACGGUACCCAAAGAAUAAGCACCGGCUAACUUCGUG
rnacentral:rRNA from 1 species